GACGAACGCUGGCGGCGUGCCUAAUACAUGCAAGUAGAACGCUGAAGAGAGGAGCUUGCUCUUCUUGGAUGAGUUGCGAACGGGUGAGUAACGCGUAGGUAACCUGCCUGGUAGCGGGGGAUAACUAUUGGAAACGAUAGCUAAUACCGCAUAAAAUUGAUUAUUGCAUGAUAAUUAAUUGAAAGAUGCAAUUGCAUCACUACCAGAUGGACCUGCGUUGUAUUAGCUAGUUGGUGAGGUAACGGCUCACCAAGGCGACGAUACAUAGCCGACCUGAGAGGGUGAUCGGCCACACUGGGACUGAGACACGGCCUAGACUCCUACGGGAGGCAGCAGUAGGGAAUCUUCGGCAAUGGGGGGAACCCUGACCGAGCAACGCCGCGUGAGUGAAGAAGAUUUUCGGAUCGUAAAGCUCUGUUGUAAGAGAAGAACGGGUGUGAGAGUGGAAAGUUCACACUGUGACGGUAUCUUACCAGAAAGGGACGGCUAACUACGUGCCAGCAGCCGCGGUAAUACGUAGGUCCCGAGCGUUGUCCGGAUUUAUUGGGCGUAAAGCGAGCGCAGGCGGUUAGAUAAGUCUGAAGUUAAAGGCUGUGGCUUAACCAUAGUAUGCUUUGGAAACUGUUUAACUUGAGUGCAGAAGGGGAGAGUGGAAUUCCAUGUGUAGCGGUGAAAUGCGUAGAUAUAUGGAGGAACACCGGUGGCGAAAGCGGCUCUCUGGUCUGUAACUGACGCUGAGGCUCGAAAGCGUGGGGAGCAAACAGGAUUAGAUACCCUGGUAGUCCACGCCGUAAACGAUGAGUACUGGGUGUUAGGCCCUUUCCGGGGCUUAGUGCCGCAGCUAACGCAUUAAGCACUCCGCCUGGGGAGUACGACCGCAAGGUUGAAACUCAAAGGAAUUGACGGGGGCCCGCACAAGCGGUGGAGCAUGUGGUUUAAUUCGAAGCAACGCGAAGAACCUUACCAGGUCUUGACAUCCCUCUGACCGCUCUAGAGAUAGAGUUUUCCUUCGGGACAGAGGUGACAGGUGGUGCAUGGUUGUCGUCAGCUCGUGUCGUGAGAUGUUGGGUUAAGUCCCGCAACGAGCGCAACCCCUAUUGUUAGUUGCCAUCAUUCAGUUGGGCACUCUAGCGAGACUGCCGGUAAUAAACCGGAGGAAGGUGGGGAUGACGUCAAAUCAUCAUGCCCCUUAUGACCUGGGCUACACACGUGCUACAAUGGCUGGUACAACGAGCCGCAAGCCGGUGACGGCAAGCUAAUCUCUGAAAGCCAGUCUCAGUUCGGAUUGUAGGCUGCAACUCGCCUACAUGAAGUCGGAAUCGCUAGUAAUCGCGGAUCAGCACGCCGCGGUGAAUACGUUCCCGGGCCU
rnacentral:rRNA from 1 species